GUAGACAAGCUGAGCAAGAGUAGUCUUCCCUAUUCCCCCCAUUCCGAUAAUGGGAAUCACACAAACCCCAUUAUCCCAAUCUUCCCCACUCAACAACAAUUCCACAAUCCUCUCUUGGUCCUCUUCCCUACCAAAAAUCUGCUGUUCAUCUACCAAAGAAGUACUAGGCAAUCUUUUAAAUGAUCCACUACUCCUACCUUCACUACUAUUAACGCUCAGCUCAAGGCCAUCCUUUUGCUUAACAACUUCUUCCAAUCUAGCUGUAAUUAUCUUAAUUCUAGACCCCCAGUUAUAAUUAAACGCCAGAUUUCUAGGAUUCAAUGGAGCAAAGAACUUGGGUAACGCAGUUCGUAACUUGCUUGAGCCCGAUUCUUGCUUCUCUUGUAGGUUUUUGCGUAAAACCUCAGUGGCAAACUCGUCGAGGAUGUCCUCUACAUCAUAAGCUAAUUCUCGGAGCUCUUCAAUCCAAAUUUCUAGAAGGCGAUUGCUUAUUUGCUUCUCCUCUGCAUCAUCAAGC
rnacentral:misc_RNA from 1 species